AUUGAACGCUGGCGGCAGGCCUAACACAUGCAAGUCGAACGAGUGGCGGACGGGUGAGUAAUGUCUGGGAAACUGCCCGAUGGAGGGGGAUAACUACUGGUAACGGUAGCUAAUACCGCAUACCAUCGGAUGUGCCCCGAUGGGGUUAGCUAGUAGGUGGGGUAACGGCUCACCUAGGCGACGAUCCCUAGCUGGUCUGAGAGGAUGACAGGCCACACUGGAAAUGAGACACGGUCCAGACUCCUACGGGAGGCAUCAGUGGGUAAUAUUGCAAAAGGGGCGCAAGCCUGAUGCAGCCAUGCCGCGUGUAUGAAGAAGGCCUUGGGGUUGUAAAGUACUUUCCGCGAGGAGGCGUUACUCGCAGAAGAAGCACCGGCUAACUCCGAGCCAGCAGCCGCGGUAAUAC
rnacentral:rRNA from 1 species